rnacentral:tRNA from 7 species
GGGCCCGUAGCUCAGCCGGUAGAGCAGUGGACUCAUAAUCCAUUGGUCCCAGGUUCGAACCCUGGCGGGCCCA